GAUCGAAAGACCUUAUGCUUUUGGAGCGGCCGAUGUCUGAUUAGCUAGUUGGUAAGGUAAUGGCUUACCAAGGCAACGAUCAGUAGUUGGUCUGAGAGGACGACCAGCCACACUGGGACUGAGACACGGCCCAGACUCCUACGGGAGGCAGCAGUGGGGAAUUUUGGACAAUGGGCGCAAGCCUGAUCCAGCAAUGCCGCGUGAGUGAAGAAGGCCUUCGGGUUGUAAAGCUCUUUCAGUUGAGAAGAAAAGAUUGUGACUAAUAAUUGCAAUUCAUGACGGUAUCAACAGAAGAAGCACCGGCUAACUACGUGCCAGCAGCCGCGGUAAUACGUAGGGUGCGAGCGUUAAUCGGAAUUACUGGGCGUAAAUGGAACGCAGG
rnacentral:rRNA from 1 species